AGGGAGUAUAUAAAAUCGUUCAUAAAUAAAAGUUAUACGACAUCUAAAAAAAGAUUUAGAUCUACUAUAUACCUAAUAAUUGAAUCAAAUAAAAACAUUCGUAAGCAAAUUCUCCAUGUUAGGAUCGUUGUCUCAUAUCAUACUAACGUAUAUCUAUUCAGUGACCAAUUCGAAUAUAAAAUUAUAAUUUUGUAAAUAAAGUUAAAAUCAAUAAAAACUAAAAAUAAAAUUAAUUUUACAAAGCUACAAGUAAAAUGUAGGAGGGAAAUUUACCUCCAUAAUCAGUAAAGAGUUUAUCUUGGUUGAAAAUUUUGUGUGAAAUUCUACCCCUAAAGUAAAACUCAUCAACAUUAGGCGGUAAAACUCCCUCCAAAACAACACUCAAUAUAACUAAUCUAUAAUAAAAAAAAUUUUAAAAAAUCAAAAACAAAAUUAAAAACAAAAAACAUUAAGGAAAAGGGUGUAAAACAAACACUAACAGCUUCAAUUCCUCAACCUGCGUUCUUCAUCCUUCACUCCAUUUUUUUAAAUUUUUUUUUUUUUUUUUGGGAAAGCCAGUUCUUUACUCCAUCCUCUAUUCUCUACCAAUUUCAAGCUUUUAACCCAACUACUCUCUUCUAGACUCAAGUGGGAAAUCUCAAAUUCUCAGUUGAAUCAUGGGGCAGCCUCAAAUGGUUAGAGGUGGCGAGGCUGGUGCACCUACACCAUAGAGAUAAAUGACCAACAAUGCCCUAGCUUACCUGAAGGCAGUGAAGAAAUUGUUCCCGAAGAAGGAGAAAUAUGAUGAAUUCAUCAGGUUAUUAUGAGGCAAUAAGCUGGAACAUUGGAGUGCUAUAUUGUUAGGUCUUUUAAGAAAACAAGUUGGUUUCUGCUAUAAUGGCUACUCAGAUGAGCAAGAACCGGAAGUUCGGUGCUGAUGGUGUCAUUUACCCUGAACUAAAUAAAGUUUUCAGGAGAGAACUCACUCAAGAUAGCUACUAUGGUGGCGAAGUGAGAAGGGAAGACGGAUUAAGGAAUCCUGUUUUUUGAAUAUGGAUGAGUGUGAUGUAGCAAACUUUAUAGCCAUUUGCUGGGCUAUUUAUGGUGCUAGGAAUUCUCAGAUCAUGGAGGGGGAGUGUAGGGACUAUGGGGAAGUGCUGAGCUAUGCUAUAAAGACUGGAAAUUCCAAGCCUGGUUUUUGCUGUGCUGCUGCUGUUAGUUCAGGGAAGGCUGCUGUCGAUUGGACAACAUAUGCAGGACUCUUAAAGGUUAAUGUUGAUGCUGCCUUUGUAGUGACUUUGGGUGUGGUUUGGGGUAGUGAUCAGGGAUGGUUUUGGUGAAGUUAUGGCUACAGGGGUCUAGCAGGGCAGUGAGAAGUGGGACGUGAGGGUGGCUGAAGCAAAAGCCGUGUGAUGGGGGCUGUAGCUGGCUGCGAAUAUGGGUGCCCAAAAUUUAGUUGAGGGUGAUUGUUUGCAGGUCUUCCAAGCUUUGAAGAGCGAAGAGAUUGGCUAUAGUGAAUUUUCUUUAAUUUUAGGGGAUGUUUUGUUAUUUUGCACUAACUUUGUUAUUGUUUAGUGGUCUUUUGUGAAACGAGGUGGCAAUAGGGUUGCUCGUGAAUUGACCCGGUUUCAUCAUAGGGAAGUGGGUCAAUGAAUGUGGUUUGAUGUAAUUCCCUCUCGUAUUCUUGAUGUAGCUCUUCUUGAUAUAUCUAAUUAGCUCCCCUUUAUGGGUUUUAUAAAAAAAA